rnacentral:rRNA from 1 species
CGACAGCAAUAUGAAGGUCAGGCUGAAGACCUUACCGGAUUAGCUGAGAGGUGGUGCAUGGCCGUCGUCAGUUCGUACUGUGAAGCAUCCUGUUAAGUCAGGCAACGAGCGAGACCCACGUCCACAGUUGCCAGCAUACCCUCCGGGGGUGAUGGGUACACUGUGGAGACCGCCGCUGCUAAAGCGGAGGAAGGAAUGGGCAACGGUAGGUCAGUAUGCCCCGAAUCUCCCGGGCUACACGCGGGCUACAAUGGUUGGUACAAUGGGCAUCUACCCCGAAAGGGGAAGGAAAUCUCUUAAAGCCAAUCGUAGUUCGGAUUGAGGGCUGCAACUCGCCCUCAUGAAGCUGGAAUCCGUAGUAAUCGCGUUUCAACAGAACGCGGUGAAUACGUUCCCGGGUCUU